CAGCCAUUAGAAAAGGACCCAUGUGGCACGGCAAGUGCUUAGUGAGGCUCUGGCAAUGCUGGAGAGCACGCAGCCCGAACCCAGCAAUCAGCAGCAAUGACACUGAGUGCAAUUAGCUGCAGCUGCAGCCAGCAGCCAUUUGUUAAGUACCACUUGAUUUAUUUCAUUGUUUGUUGGUCUUUUAAUUUCAUGCUGAUAUUGCCAGGCCACUGACAUCAAACUCUGUUUAUUUAUUCUAAGCAAUGUCCAUGUGAUUUAUUUUUUUAAUUUUUAAUUGUAAUACAAUUAAUAUCGGAGUAAUGGCCAUCAGUCCACCCCACUAUUCCGUUUCACCCCACCAUGAGCCUACAGAAGCACAGCAGCCCUGCCACGGGGACAGCAGCGGUUGUCACUUACUGGGGCGGAUGGCUCCAGGCCUCCCCUUGGGUCGCUGUCUCCCAGCAGCCACUCCAGCAGCACUGGGAUGCCGGCACACGUCUGCCCCCACUGCUGGAGCUGCUCACACAGCGUGCCAAAGGCCAAGUCCAGGGCCAGGGGAGCGUUCAUGACCCUAAACAUGAACCCUGCUCCUUUACUGCUCUUUUUUUCAGCCUGUGCAACUUGUAGAACCUCAGCAGCUGCAUCCCUU
rnacentral:lncRNA from 1 species